rnacentral:rRNA from 1 species
UACGUAGGGGGCAAGCGUUGUCCGGAAUCAUUGGGCGUAAAGAGCGUGUAGGCGGCCAGAAAAGUCCGCUGUGAAAACUCGAGGCUCAACUUCGAGCUGUCGGUGGAAACUUUCUGGCUAGAGUCCGGAAGAGGAGAAUGGAAUUCCUGGUGUAGCGGUGAAAUGCGCAGAUAUCAGGAAGAACACCCGUGGCGAAGGCGGUUCUCUGGGACGAUACUGACGCUGAGACGCGAAAGCGUGGGGAGCGAACAGG